rnacentral:rRNA from 1 species
AUGGCGCCGCCCCCCGUCGUGGGCUUCUCCGACCUGCCGACGGAGGCGCUGGACGAGAUCGCCCGGCGCGCCGGGCCCCUCGACAACGUUCUCUGCUCCGCCGUCUGCCGGUCAUGGCGCCGCGCGCUCAGGACCACGCGCCUCCGCCGGCUGGGGCGGCAGCCGAGCCUCCCGCACGGCAUAUACAUGUACGAAGGCAGUUACUGGAAGGAGGGGCAGCCCCCGGUCGUCGAAGUCAGCCGGCCGUACUGCAGAGACUCCGGCCGGUGGGCCGUCAAGACCGUCAUGGAGGACGGCGAGGUGGCGCGCGCGCGCAUCAUCGGAAGCUCGUACGGCUGGGUCGUCACCGUCGACAAUGACACGUGGGCCAUGUCCCUGCUCGACCCCUUCACCGGCCGGAGCUUCCCGCUGCCUCCCUUCACGGACUCCUCCCGCGCCGGCAAGCAGCUCUGGUCGGAGUUCCGAUGGGGGCGAGCGAUGUUCCGUAAGGCGGCGCUGGCUCCUGGGCGCCGGCUGGGCACCCACGCCGUGAUGCUCCUCCACAGCGGCGGGCGCUCCUACCUCGCUCCCGGCGCCACGUCGUGGGCGACGCUGCGCCCUCCGAGGGGCAUGCCGCACAAGUACCUGGACGUCAUCUUCUACAGGGGUGCCUUCUACACGGUCAGCUCCUUCGCCGAGGUGAACGCGUGGGUGGCGGACGGCAGCGGCAGCCUGCGGACGAGGAGGCUCACGAGCCCGCGGCGGGAGCAGGUGUGGGCCGUGCUCACCGAGUCCGUGUCCCGCGACGGCGUUCUCAUGGUGAGCAGCACGGACACGCGCGACCACGAUACCUACUUAUCUUAUGGCUUCCGGCAACGACAGUACAGGGUGCACCGCUGCGCGGAGAGGGAGCGCAGGUGGCUUCCCGUGGAGAACCAUGAGCUCGAGGAAAUGACGAUCGUGGUCGGGGGCAGGUGCAGCUUCUGCGUCCCGCGCAGCUACGGCUACGACGUCGGCGACCAUGGCCACCGGAACGGACGUGUGCAGGCGACUUCUUCUCAUUGGUUUCUCCCUUACGUUGCAAGGCUAGACCCAGCUUUCUGGUAG